rnacentral:rRNA from 1 species
UACGUAGGUGGCAAGCGUUGUCCGGAUUUACUGGGCGUAAAGGGCGCGUAGGCGGCCUGCUAAGUCGAACGUGAAAUCCCUGGGCUCAACCCAGGAACUGCGUCCGAUACUGGUUGGCUUGAAUCCGGGAGAGGGACGUGGAAUUCCAGGUGUAGCGGUGAAAUGCGUAGAUAUCUGGAGGAACACCGGUGGCGAAGGCGACGUCCUGGACCGGCAUUGACGCUGAGGCGCGAAAGCGUGGGGAGCAAACAGG